UGCGCAGGUGGGGGUGUAAGUCAGUGGUGAAAUGUUGCCGCUCAACGGUAAAAUUGCCAUUGAUACUGCAUCUCUUGAGUAUGGUUGAGGUAGGCGGAAUGUGUUGUGUAGCGGUGAAAUGCAUAGAUAUGACACAGAACACCGAUUGCGAAGGCAGCUUACUAAGCCAUUACUGACGCUGAGGCACGAAAGCGUGGGGAGCGAACAGGAUUAGAUACCCGAGUAGUCC
rnacentral:rRNA from 1 species